rnacentral:lncRNA from 1 species
GAUGAACAGUAUGUCUUGGGGAGAGUUCGCCAAUGAAUUUGCAGGGUGGGCUUUUCCUGACAGUUCUAGGGAGAUGAAAGUAAUUGAAUUCGAACAGUUGAGACAAACAGAUGAGAUGAGUGUUGAUGAAUUCACAGAUAAGUUCCUGGAUUUGCUUCAGUAUGUGGGUCAAGCCUAUGAUACUGAUCAGAAGAAGGCAAGGAGAUAUACUAUGAGACUGCAUCCCAGGUAUUCUUCCUUGAUUCUUCCAGCAGAAAAAGAGAGUUUCCACACGAUAGUAGACGCAGCCAGGAAAAUGGAAGCUAGUGCCAAUAUUCAGAAACAGUCAAAGGCACAGGCUUCGGGUUCUAAAGCCCCCAC